UAAAUCAGUGUACUUCAGCCCAACGGAUUGUCAUACUGAUCACGUUACCUGUGCUGAUGAACUAAUUUAUUUGUUGAUCUCGAUGCUACUACUACUUAAACUUAUUUUUAAAAAACAUAAAAUCAUAGCCUAUAAAGUACCAAACCCCUUAACUUUGGUACUAGCAACACAAGCCAAACAUUUUCAUACUUUUUUUGAAUUAAUUCAUCAUUAAUGUUAUCAAUAAUGACUUUCUAUAAUUAUUAAGAGUUACCGUACCCUACUACUACUAUAAUACUUUCAUAUAUGCUUAUUUUGUAUAUAGCCAUCUAAUAAAAGACAAUAGUCACAUUAAAUGAUAAUAGGUUUUUCUCUCUUAAGUUGCACAUAACGCUCAUUUGUCUAUAUUUUGUCUCCUUAUCAUUUUUGUAUUUUUUUUUUAUUUCUUUCCCCUCUGUCCUUAUUACGAUUAUAAUAUUUAAAAAAAACUUUUACAUAUAUUAUAAAGAUAACAUAAUCAUCUACAUUUAGACAUAGUUCAACUGUUUUUGGUAUUAAUUCUUGUAAUGUUUUGAUUUAGAGUAAGUAGAUCUGAUUUCAUUAGCUAAUAUGAGCAGAUCUUUCAUGCCAAGUUUACAAGAGUGCCUUAAUCAAAUACUGCAGUAGGUAGUAAUUCUAAUGUGUCCUCAGUCUUUCUUCAUGCAUGCUGUUUAUUUGGCUUAUUGGAUCCACAAUUCUAAUCUAGAACGGAAUACACUUACUUUUAUACUGGUUGUCUAUAAACCAAAAUCAAGACGUCAGUGGUCAAUUACGGCAAGCCUAAAUGCAUUUUCUUAAUUGCCUGAUUGGAGACUGUUAAUGGCGAGAUCUGAUAUUGGACAAGGAUUGGAUUCUCUUCAUUAGGCUGUGUGCUGCCGUAGGGAGGGAAAAGGAAUUGGUAUGGAGGUGGCAUCACUAUGAAAAGGCAGCCAAAGACAUUGAUUGGCAGCAGCACUGCAACAACCGUAUUAUCAUCAGUCAGUAAUAAUCAAACAUUUGUCAGUUAUUUUACAGUCAAGCUGUUGGUAGUUAAAGAUGAAAUGUUCUACACAACAACACAUGCUUUGGAGGCAAAUGUGACCUUAAAAUAAAAGUUUGGUGCUGCACAUUUAACAUUUAAUUGACAGCUACUUCUGCUUAAUGCUGAACUGGUGGAGAGAUCAGAACAUUAUUAUCCCUAAAGUUUUUGACUUUAGAAGCAACCUCUUCAUCUCUCAUCUUUCUGCAAAGUUUUUGUGUGCAGAAGAUUCUUGUCAGCCAGGCGACAGACAGUUCAACAGACUUUUAGAAAGACUUACUGUGAAGAAGUAGGUCACGAUGAAGCAUCAGAGGUGCUGACAGCUCUGUGAAAUGAGCAGCUACUUCGACAUGAAUACUAAUCACAGCUGUUACUACCACCAUAGCUUCCUCAUUUGACAAGAAAUGCAGGCAGUUAUAAUAUGCAUGAUGGACUACUUCUGUGAUUGCACCCCUUAAAGAGGAAGUUUCAGCAUAACAGUAUAUAGCAGUGGUUUUUCGGCAGGAAAAGGUCAAUUCUGACAUCCUCUUAUUUAUGUAUUCUUGUACAGUGUGUACCCAACCAUCCAUUCAUGUUCAUUUGAAGAAUGCAAUAGUCAGUCAGCCAGCCUUUGCACAGGUAGGAAGUGUCUCUCGGCCUUACCACUCACCGCAUGUGGUGCUUGCUCAAGAAUACUUCACCAAGUGCACACAAGGAUCACAUUUAUGUGUUUCAUUAUUUAAAUGUUAGUUUAUGCAUUCAAUUUAACUUGUUUUAUUUAUGUAGCACCAAUUCAACAAAUGUUAUCUCAACAUCUAACUCUACCAAGAUGGCGCGGCGUGUGUGUCAUCAAGUUCCAGCAGCUCUGUAAUGCUGCAGAGCUGGAGUUAAACGCCGGGAAAGGAAAUGGAGGUACAAGCCAUACAUGCCAUCCAUUAUUACUGGAAACAUCCGCUCUCUCUUUAACAAGCAGGACAAGCUAACGGCGCUUAUGCGUCUGCAGCGCGUGUACCAGGAGAGCAGCCUGCUGGGUUUGACCAAGACAUGGAUGAAUCAGGACACACCGGACUCUAUGAUCUCUGUUAACAGAUUUACGUUGGUGUGGGCGGACCGGAGUGUAGCGCAGGGCAGAAAGGCAAAAGGCGGCGGACUGGCGGUGUUUGUGAACGACAGAUGGUGUAACCCGGACCACAUCACCAUUAACAACAACACUGUAGCAAGGGCAUUGAACUGAUGGCAGUCAGCUUUCGGCCGUACUAUCUCCCAGGUGCUCGUAGUCAUUGCUCAUUGGCGAUGUGUGCACAGCAACGUGUCCAGGCUGCAGACAGGGCACUCUCUCUCCCCUGCUUACACUCUAAUGGUGAAACAACAGACACCACAGGUUAAAACAGUGAAGAUCUGGACUGAGGGGGCAACAAAGCAAUUGAAGGACUGCUUUAAAACCACACACUGGGACGUUCUCUGCAGCCCACAUGGGGAGAACAUUGACAGUCUCACACUGCAUCACGGACUACAUUAAUUUCCAUGUGGAAAGCACUUUGGCAACAAAGAGAGUGCGUUUCUCCAAAGACAAGCCCUGGGUGACCCCUGAGCUGAAUGUCCUUUUAAAUGAGAAUAGGGCCUUUCUCUUAGGGAACAAGGAGUACAGAGGGACUUAAAGUAUAAAAUCAGAAAGUGCAAAGACAACUAAAAGAAGAAGCUGGAGCAUCGCCUGGAGCAGAACAACUUCUGUGAUGUGUGGAGAAGAUUAAAACACUUCUCUGGCCACAGACUGGCUGGAAAUGGUCGCCAGUUCACAGGUGACCAAGCCUUGGCAAAUGAGUUAAACCUGUUUUUUAAUAAAUUUUAUUCUGCCCAGUCUCCAACCACUGCUUAGUCUCCAACCACACGGCCCCCUCUUCACACCUCUCCAGUCCAGGCGUCUCCUCCCAGCUGCAGCUGUUCACACCUCAGCACCACGCAGUCUACUCUUCCCUUCAACAAAGGGACCCCCCAAACAACCCACAGCUCCAGACCAGCCACCGCCCACCCCCCCUUUGCCUCACUCUGAACCAGGAUAGGGGGGAGUUAACGAGGACAAAAGCCAGGAAGUUAUCUCGAUUGUUACCUAGUUUGGAACACCCCUGUCUGUACCGUAGCCUUGCUUGACCGUUCUGUUGCCUGACUGCCUGCCUCUGUGACUUUGCCAUUGCUUGCUCCUCUUGUGCUGUUGUGCCUAUCUGCCUACGUGUACCAACCUCCGCUUGUAUCCUGACUCUGAGUUGCAUUCAAACCCUUGUACUUACCUGUCUGCCUUCAGUGCUGUGUAAUUGGGUCCGCCAUCUUGAACCAUGUUUGUGACAGUACGAUCUGGCCCGACUUGGACCCAGCCAGCCCCAGGGGUUUGUUCAAUUCAGUUUUGUCUGUCUGUGAAGAGGAAUUCUGCGACGCCAGGACAUACCUGGACAUCUCUGCGCUGGUGAAGGACAACCAGGAAGCAGCCAGCCCGAAAGCCCAGCUGAGCGCAGUUGAGGUGGCGGUUCUCGUCCUGGAGGACGAGGAUUGCGGGCUAGACUUUCCCGACGUUCACACCCUCUUCGACCAGCUGUGCUCAAGUGAGGAAUUAGAGCACGUCCUGCGCGCCGCGGCCGCCUGUGCGUUGAUCCCUCAUUCAACAUCGGCUCAUGGCUCUCCACUGACGUCCCACUGACGUCCCACCACCAGCUCCUGCUGUGCUCUCCACUCCUUGGUUCCUACUUGGUCUCGUGGUCCUGCUCAUGUGUCUGCUCCUGCUUUGCCUCUGUGCCCUGCUAAAUCCUCAGCUCCGGUAUCUCUGCAGUCGCUAGACUGCGCUCUGGCUCUACCUGCUGGGGAGCGGCCGUAACCAGACGCUGCAGGAAUCCCUCCGAUCCCCCCUGUGUUCUGAUCCCACCAUCGACCUUCAUGCUGGUUCCUGGCGACCCUACCCUGACCUCUCAUGGUCAGAACCAGUCAGAACCCUGAGGACUCUGAGCUAAUUCCCCAACCUCAUCUACCUCAGCCCGCCCCGGCCGCAGCCUGUCCCGGUCGCAGCACCGCAGCCUGCUCCAGUCACAGAUCCGCAGCCUGCCCCGGCCGCAGCACUACAGCCUGUUCCAGUCAUGGACCCUCAACGCAACCGGCUCCAUCUCUGGCUCCUCAUCUGCCAUUGUCCCUGGCUUAGCGACCUCCUCGACUCUUCAGCUUCCUGGAUUGGCAUCCGCCAACGUUGUACCUAUCUGCCUACAUGUAUCGGCCUCCACCUGUAUCCUGACUGGCAGACAUCACCGGCCCCCAUGCUGGAGGACGUCGUCGCUCCCUCUGGGUCUCUGGAGGCGGCUUGUUUCAAUGCCGACCUCCCAGAACCCACCGUUCGCCACUGGGCGUUAGUGGUCUUCUUCCAGCCCAACGGCUGCUGAAUUGAGCCUCGCUUCACCUUCAUCCUCCCUGAGAUGAUGAAAGGAUGACUUUAUGUUGUUUUUCCCGUGUUUGGACUUCUCUCAUGGACUGGUUGUAAACGUUUCUUGGACUCAAUCUGUGUAUAAUGAUCACGUGUUGUAACUCUGCCGUGUUCGUUUUGGUUCUCCUUUUUGGUUUACCUCCAUGUUAGAACCAAAGUUUGGAUCACCCGUCUGUACCGUAGCCUUGCCUUCUGUUGCCUGACUGCCUGCUUCUGUGACUUCGCCAUUGUCUGCUCUUCUUGUGCUGUUGUGCCUUUCUGCCUACAGUACAGAAGACAUCCUGCGUGGUACCUUUACCAAAGACAUCUCGGCCGACUGACUUCAAAGACUACAGACCGGUGGCGCUGACCUCUCAUCUGAUGAACACGAUGGAGAGGCUGGUGCUCACCCAUCUUCGUAUUAUGGUGAGUCAGUCAAUGGACCUGCUACAGUUCGCCUACCAGACGGGUAUCGGAGUUGAGAAUGCUGUCAUCUAGACCAGGCUGGGAGCUCUGUGAAGAAUCAUGUUCUUUGACUUCUCCUGUGCUUUCAACACCAUCCAACUGUUGCUUCGGAGGGACAAGUUGAUGCACAUAGGGGUGGACCAAUAUCUGUCUGCAUGGAUGCUGGACUACCUCUCGAACCAAUUGCCGUAUGUGAGGGCUUGCCACUGUGAGUCUGACAUGGUUGUCUGCAACACAGGAGCCACGCAGGGAACAGUUCUGGAUCUGUUUCUGUUCACUGUCUAUACUGCAGAGUUCAUGUCCACCUCAGCAUCCUGUCAUCUGCAGAAGUUCUCAGAUAAGGCAGAUAAAGAGUUCUUGGGUAACUUCCCAUAACAUAGGAAUAACAGAAUGGGGUUGGUUCACCAGUAAUAUUGACUAUAUAUGACAAUAUUUGAAUGUUUACAUUGUUUAUUUAGCUUAGCAUAUGGUGUUCAUUGGCUAAUAACUCAUGAUAUGAGCCAAUAUCACAAUAUGAUAGCUAGCAUGCUUUGGUACAUAUCCACAGAUUCCUUAGGAUUCCUUAUUUAGCUAGCGAGUAGCUUAGCGUAUGUUGUUCUAAAGAAGAUCGUUGCAGAGAAGCUCGAGACCUAUUCACAAGUCCAACAGUAAGGACAAACCCAACGACUCUGUAACGAUAGGGGAGGAGUUUGAGACUUCAAACCUAGUCACUACCCUCAGCCCUUUGUUUUCAUUUUGAGCCCGUCGUUAAAGGUGGGAGGGGAAACCUUACUGAAGGAUAAAUGUCUGGCCUUCAGCCAACUUCCUUCAGACUAAAGAAGUCAUCUGUAUUAGUGGUAAAAUGUUUCUACUGAAAAGAAUCCAACUGACAUGACUCAACCUUCAGACUUCGCAAAAUUUGAUUUGUUUUAUGAUAAGCUUAUUAUUGUGUGAAUGGUUAGAAGUAUGUAUGUAUUGAUAGAAUCUAAGUUCUAGUCAUUUAGGGAUUUGAGAAUGCAUUUGCUUCACUGUGUCCAAGUGUAAAUUCAAUAUUUUUUUAUUAUUAUUAAUAUUUUGUUUUCCAUGUGAUUAUUCAUUUUCAUUCUGAGGAAUAAUAUUCUAUUGACUACGCAAUUUUAUCAGGGAGACAUUGUAAGCUGUGCCUCAGACUGACAUUAUCUUUUAUAGUUAUAUAUAUAUCAUCUAAAAGAAGCUCUAUUUUUUCAUAGAUAGUGUAAAUGUGUAUUUGCUUACCACAUAAAAUCAAUAUUCUUGGUCAUUUGCUUAAUGGCUGGGUGUUACAAAAAGUAAUAUUUUACACAGUUCAUAUACUGUUACUUUACAGUAUUAUAUAGUGUGAUUUUGCAUUUAUAUGUACAAAGAAAUAGGUGAACGCUGCAAAAAUUGUAAGGCAACUCUGAAAUGGAGAAUGGGGGUCAUAUAAAUGGGAGUGAGGCGUGGAUUAAGUAAAAGUGGAAGAAGAAAGCUUGUGUGCAGUGAAGUGAACUGGGGCACCAAGGCAGGGGUGAGAAAGAUGAAAAGGGAAGGGAGAGGGGGGGGAAUAAAGGAGCUUUUAACAGGACCAGUUACUGCACUGAGCUUGAAGGAAGGAUUAAGGAUUGCUUGUGAUUUUUUUAUAAUUUAUUUUUGGAGGAGGGUAUUAUGUUUCCAGGAGCAUGUAAAUUGUGUGUGUAUGCAUGUUUAAUGUAUAUUUAUGUGUAUAAAUGAAGGAACAACAUAAAAGGCAUCUGCAUCUA